rnacentral:tRNA from 1 species
AAUAUUGUGUCUGAUAAAAGGAAUUAAACUGUAAAUUUAAUAAUAGAAUAUUUUUAUUCUCAAUAUUA